CCUACGGGAGGCAGCAGUGGGGAAUAUUGCACAAUGGGCGCAAGCCUGAUGCAGCCAUGCCGCGUGUGUGAAGAAGGCCUUCGGGUUGUAAAGCACUUUCAGCGGGGAGGAAGGCGUUAAGGUUAAUAACCUUGUCGAUUGACGUUACCCGCAGAAGAAGCACCGGCUAACUCCGUGCCAGCAGCCGCGGUAAUACGGAGGGUGCAAGCGUUAAUCGGAAUUACUGGGCGUAAAGCGCACGCAGGCGGUCUGUCAAGUCGGAUGUGAAAUCCCCGGGCUCAACCUGGGAACUGCAUUCGGAAACUGGAAGGCUAGAGUCUUGUAGAGGGGGGUAGAAUUCCAGGUGUAGCGGUGAAAUGCGUAGAGAUCUGGAGGAAUACCGGUGGCGAAGGCGGCCCCCUGGACAAAGACUGACGCUCAGGUGCGAAAGCGUGGGGAGCAAACAGGAUUAGAUACCCGUGUAGUC
rnacentral:rRNA from 1 species